rnacentral:rRNA from 1 species
CCAAAAAUCUAGCCCAAUAACCUUCCCCCAAUACCCUACUAAAACUAAAAUAUUUAUUCAACUUAGUAAAGAUGAUUGAAAAAUUAAUUGGAGCAAUAAAUAUGUACCGAAAGGGAAAGAUGAAAUAUAAAUGAAACAUUACUUAAGCACAAAACAGUAGAGAUUUACCCUCGUACCUUUUGCAUCAUGGUUUAGCUAGUCUAAUCAAGCAAAAAGAAAUCUAGUUUGACUUCCCGAAACUAAGUGAGCUACUCUAGGGCAGCCUAAUGGGCGAACCCGUCUCUGUUGCAAAAGAGUGGGAAGACCCUAAAGUAGAGAUGAUAUGUCUAUCGAACUUAGCAAUAGCUGGUUAUUUAGGAAAAGAAUCUUAGUUCAACCUAAAGCUUACAAAAUACUUUUAAAUAAAAAUCAACUUUAGAGCUACUCACACAAGUCACAGCUUGUUUGAGACAGGAUACAACCUCCACUUGCGGGUAAUAAUUAAUUCACUGAAUUAAGUGGGCCUAAGAGCAGCCAUCUUUUAAAAAGCGUUAAAGCUUAUUUCCUUUUUUCCCAAAAACUUCACAAAUCUCUUAGAACCCCUAAACAGUACUAAAUAAUUCUAUACACUUAUAGAACUUAUCAUGCUAAAACUAGUAACAAGAAGAAAACUUCUCUCCUAUGUAAGUGUAAGUCAGAAUAGAAAACCUACUGACCCCUAACAGUUAUAAACCACAGUAUUAAAGCACUUAGAAAAUCCUACUCCCUCCCCUGUUAACCUUACACCAGAACAUAUUGAGAAAGAUUAAAAGAAAAAGAAGGAACUCGGCAAAUCAUGAUUCCGCCUGUUUACCAAAAACAUCGCCUCCUGCUAACCUAUAGGAGGUCCAGCCUGCCCGGUGACCUAGUUUAACGGCCGCGGUAUCCUAACCGUGCGAAGGUAGCGUAAUCACCUGUUUUUUAAUUGAAGACCUGUAUCAAAGGCAUCACGAGAAUCGCACUGUCUCCUUUCUCCAAUCAGUGAAACUAAUCUCCUCGUGAAAAAGCGAGGAUGUCAAUACAAGACGAGAAGACCCUUUGGAGCUUAAGACAAGGUACUAUUAUGCAUCUCCUAUUAAACCUAUUCAAUAAAGCAUUUAUUUUACAAGUCUUCGGUUGGGGCAACCGCGGAGUAAAACCUACCCUCCAAGCUGAACGGAUCCCUCCUAAACAAAAAGCUACAACUUUAUGUAUUAAUAAAUUAACACUCAUGACCCAAUAUUUUGAUUAUCGAACCAAGUUACCCUAGGGAUAACAGCGCAAUCCACUUCAAGAGUUCAUAUCGACAAGUGGGCUUACGACCUCGAUGUUGGAUCAGGGUAUCCUAGUGGUGCAGCCGCUACUAAAGGUUCGUUUGUUCAACGAUUAAAACCCCACGUGAUCUGAGUUCAGACCGGAGUAAUCCAGGUCAGUUUCUAUCUGUAAAGAGCUCCUUCCAGUACGAAAGGAUAGAAAAAGCGCGGCCAAUGUAAUUUAUACACCGUCCCUAAUGACUUAUGAUACCCACUUAACAAGUUAACACCUCUCACCCCCCUCAAAA